AUGAGGAUUAGUUACUCUGGGCUGUAACUUAAAAUUGUGCUUUCUGUAAUUUAGUUUGUCAGUCUUUCUCUAGCUAUUUUGCUGCAUGUCUAUGCAAUAUAAAUUCACAAUAAAUGCUCUACAUUGUACAAUCUAAUGCACUAUUUGAAAUACGUUAAUAUAUAAUUAUAGUCAAAUUGGCCAGUUUCUAAAUACAUAACUAAAUAUAGUUUGUAAUGUUACCAUUGUAAGCUAUUUAUCAAUCACUGUAAUGCUUUUACUGUUAUUUAAAUUCUACAAAGUGUACAUUGUUAUUAUUAUUAUUAUUAUUGUUGUUGUUGUAUUUGUUUUAUUAAUUUUAUUUAUAGCCAAGUCUCAUUUUGUUUUUAAUUUUCUCUAGGUGUGACUGUUGCCCCAACUGCACAGCUGGCAGACAGAAGAAAAUCACAAGAGUUGGAGAUCUGUAAGAUGAGGCUAGAGUGGCAAAAGGAUAAGAUUGAUGAGCUCACCAAAGAAAGAGACUAUCUAAAGGAGCAAUUAGCAGCAUCUCUCUCAAAGGAACCCACAAGUUCUGUCCAGGAUUCCAGUGAGGUAUUGAGUAUAUGUUCACUGUCCUCUGAUGGGUCUUUUGAUGAGAGUUCUAACUCCUCCAUGAGCACAACUUCAUCAGAUGAAGACAGGAAGAAGAGGAAGAAGGGCAAAGCAAAAAAGCACAAGUCAAAGAAACAUGACAAAAAACAAAGAACAAGAGGUAAAGUGAUUAACUUAACAGUUUGAUUUUGCAUGCGGUGUGUUACAUUACUACACUAUUACAUUACAUUAAUGAUUAUGUUCUCUCAAUUGCAGUCCAGAAUCCUAAGCAAGUGGUCACCCAGUAUAACAAGAUUUUGAGGCUGUUCAGAAGAGGAGGCACCAUGUCUGCUGCCUUUAAACAUCUGGGAGUGGACCGGAAAACGAUUGUGGCAACUGCUCCAAUUGCUGAGCUAUUCAUUGUUGCACCUGAGAGGUAUAAAGAAUUAGAAAAAAACAAGCAGGGACAGAAACGUUCAUUGUUUGCUACACAGUGUGCUGCAGCAAUCAGUGCAGAUCCAGAAACAGAGGAAAAAUUCAAAGCAUAUAAGUCUUCAGGGAAGUUGCUUCUUCUUAAAACAAAGAAAGAUUAGAUCUUUGUUGUUUUUUUUACAUGGUGAAAUGUGGUGAGAGUCCACCAUUGUUAACAGCUUAAAAAAAUACAAGUUAUGUAUUCCAGUUGAUUGGUCAAUUGUUUGUUAAAAAAAUGACACUUAAUUUUUGGUUUGUAUGUUUUUUAUUAUUAUUUUACUUUUAUAAAUUCUGUAGUUUUAUUUUAAUGAUCACACAUGUGAUACACUUUAUGUAAAGAGCUACAGGUCAUAUACUUUGGAUCCAGCCGUGUUCUGUAUUACCUCAAAUAUUGACUGAUAGUUUAUGACACUGUUUUUAUUUUUGUAUCAACAUUUGUGUGUCCAAUCUGUAAGCAUUGUUCUGAUGUUUUUGUGAUUGGCAUCUUAAAAAUACAGUGCGUUCUGUAUCUA